CCUGGUACAAAAACUCUAGAAGCUCAAGAGGCAGCUGAAAAGGGGAAGUUUGGAGAAAUUACCUUAACAAGCAAAACAAAAUUGUUUCCAUUAAUUAUCUACAGUUUCUUACUAGUCUUAUAAACAAUUUGCAGCACCGUAUCUUCACAGCAACAUCCUUGAAAGGUUCUCAAACUUUUAAACUUCAAGUGGAAUCCUGAGCCGUAUGUCACAUCAUGGCUGCGGUACCACAGAUCAGCAGAUGACACCAGGCCAAGAGUCGCUUCAGACUCCUGGACAUAUAUUACGCCUGACCCUUCGUGGAAAUUAUUGUGAAACUUCUCAUUGGUGGCAUUUGUAAACAGGAGAACAUCUGCAGAUGCUGGAAAUCCAAGCAACACAUACAAAAUGCUGGAGGAACUCAGCAGGCCAGGCAGCGUCUAUGGAAAAGAGUACAGUCGAUGUUUCGGUUUGAGACCCUUCAUACAGUUGAUGUUUCGGGCCGAGAUCCUUGUCAUUCAUCCAACAUUUUUAUCUACUCAUAAUGAAGCUUCUGUUCUCAAAGAAGUGUUGGCACCUGGAGAGUAAAAUACCCAUAACCUCUCCCCUGGAAGAGAAAAGCAAGCAAAUGAGAGAGAUAGAAAUCCUUUAUUACAUGCCUGCUGUUUCCUACUUUAUGGAGUACAUGGUUAUAACAACCGUGACUAAAGUUCACAAACAAUUUAUUGGUUGUACAGCACUUUUGCUUGCUGAAGAGGACAAAGAGAUUUGUGAUUAGAAUUUGUGAAUGUGUUAGGUUAUUGCACUGGGGAUUUAGUAUAAAAUCUCACAUGGAUUGCAAACUUUAAAUUUAGUCACUGAAAACAAUCCAGAACCAUGUGUUUGUCUUGCCGUUGUAACAAUAAAACCUAUGAAUUAUUUGAAAAAUAAUCUCAUACAAGAGGCCUCUUUAUCCAGCAUACUAUUCCUAGGAGUGAACAGUACCAGCUACCUGUCCAGAUCCCACGGCCACGGUCAAGAAAGCUGACCAACACCUUGACUUCCUCCAGAAGCUAAACCAAUUUAGUAUGUCCCCAUCGACCUUCAGCAAUUUUUAUGGAUGUACUGCAGAAAGUGUCUUAUCUGGCUUGGUAUGUCAACGGUUCUGCCUGUGACCACAAGAAACUGUAGAGUUGUGGACACCAGCCUUCUCUCUAUGAGCUCUGUCUAUACUUCUCACUGCAGCAGUAAAGCAGCCAGUAUAAUCAAAGAACCCACCCACCCCAGACAUUCUUUCCUCUCCCCUUUCCCAUUGGGCAGAAGAUACAAAAGACUGAAACCACGUAUCAUUAGGGUCAAGGACAGCUUCUAUCCCAAUGUUAUCAAAUUAUUGAAUGGUUCCCUAGUAUGGUUAGAUGGACUCUUAGCCUCACUAUCUACCUCACUAUGAUCUUUCACCGUAUUGUCCAGCAGCUCUGCACUUUCUCUGCAGCUGUUACACUUCAUUCUGCUUUCUGUUAGUGUUUUACCUUGUUCUUCC